UACGUAGGGGGCGAGCGUUGUCCGGAGUACUGGGCGUAAAGCGCACGCAGGCGGUCUGUGAAGUUUGGAGUGACAGUUGGUGGCUCAACCACCAAAGUGCUUUGAAAACUGAAUAGAGCUUGAGGGCUUCAGAGGGACACGGAAUUCCGGGUGGAGUGGUGAAAUGCGUAGAGAUCCGGAGGAACACCAAAGGCGAAGGCAGUGUCCUGGGGGAGUA
rnacentral:rRNA from 1 species